rnacentral:rRNA from 1 species
AUACUGAGGGUGCAAGCGUUAAUCGGAAUUACUGGGCGUAAAGCGCGCGUAGGCGGUUUAUCAAGUCAGAUGUGAAAGCCCUGGGCUCAACCUGGGAACUGCAUUUGAAACUGAUAAACUAGAGUUUGGUAGAGGGUGACGGAAUUCCAGGUGUAGCGGUGAAAUGCGUAGAUAUCUGGAGGAACAUCAGUGGCGAAGGCGGUUGCCUGGACCAAAACUGACGCUGAGGUGCGAAAGCGAGGGGAGCAAACAGGAUUAGAUACCCCAGUAGUCC